rnacentral:misc_RNA from 1 species
GAAAUGCGAUAAGUAAUGUGAAUUGCAGAAUUCAGUGAAUCAUCGAAUCUUUGAACGCACCUUGCGCUCCUUGGUAUUCCUUGGAGCAUGCCUGUUUGAGUAUCAUGAAAUCUUCAAAGUAAAUCUUUUGUUAACUCAAUUGGUUUCUACUUUGGUAUUGGAGGUCUUUGCAGCUUCACACCUGCUCCUCUUUGUUCAUUAGCUGGAUCUCAGUGUUAUGCUUGGUUCCACUCGGCGUGAUAAGUUAUCUAUCGCUGAGGACACUGUAAAAGGUGGCCAAGGUAAAUGCAGAUGAACCGCUUCUAAUAGUCCAUUGACUUGGGCAAUACUUUUAUGAUCUGAUCUCAAAUCAGGUAGGACUACCCGCUGAACUUAAGC